GACGAACGCUGGCGGCGUGCUUAACACAUGCAAGUCGAACGGAAAGGCCCUGCUUUUGUGGGGUGCUCGAGUGGCGAACGGGUGAGUAACACGUGAGUAACCUGCCCUUGACUUUGGGAUAACUUCAGGAAACUGGGGCUAAUACCGGAUAGGAGCUCCUGCUGCAUGGUGGGGGUUGGAAAGUUUCGGCGGUUGGGGAUGGACUCGCGGCUUAUCAGCUUGUUGGUGGGGUAGUGGCUUACCAAGGCUUUGACGGGUAGCCGGCCUGAGAGGGUGACCGGCCACAUUGGGACUGAGAUACGACCCAGACUCCUACGGGAGGCAGCGGUGGGGAAGAUUGCACAAUGGGCGGAAGGAUGAUGCAGCAACGCCGCGUGGGGGAUGACGGCCUGCGGGUUGUAAACCGCUUUCGCCUGUGACGAAGCGUGAGUGACGGUAAUGGGUAAAGAAGCACCGGCUAACUACGUG
rnacentral:rRNA from 1 species